AAAAUAAUAAAAUAUUUUAUCUUUCUUAGUAUAACUUAAAGGAUAACAAAUAAGAUAUACAAGGGAAUAAACACAUUUUUCAUAUCUACAAAUGAAGAAUAUUACAUAUAUAUAUAUAUACAUGUGUCUUAAAUAAAAAAAUUUGUAUAUAUUUAUGUGAACAUUCAUUUGUAUACUAUUAUGUUUAGUCAAGGUUUUUAAUUAUAAGGUGGUUUAUAAUAAAAACAUGUCAUAAUACGUAAAAUGAUAUAUAAAUACACAAACAAAUAUGUAAAGAUUUAUAUGUUUUACUUUUAAUAACACAUGGUCGUUAUUAUUUAAUGAUAGGAAAAAGAAAAAGAAAAAGAAAAAAUCCUCACAUUAUGACACACUAUAAUCUUUAUAUAAAAUAAGGAGCUUUAUACACAGCAUUAAAAGUUAUAAUAUAUUAAAUAUAUUUUAUGAUAUAUUUUAUUAAUUUAUAUAUAAAAGAAAUUAAUUCUUAUAUAAGGGAUAA